CUGGAAAGGCGUUAACCACUUCGUGCCCGGACUGCGCGAACGGGGCGGACGGGCUCCCUGCAGGCCCGCGGGGAGGGGUGGCGGGCGCGGGCGGCCCCGGGACACGGCUCAGGACGAAGCCCUGAGCGGCACGCGAAAGGGAAACUGAGGCCCAGAGGGUGUGACUGAGGCCGGGACGUCUCUCAGUUCCUGUCCCAGACUAAGGGAGGCCCGCGGCCCUGCAGCCGAUUCUGCAGGGGGCAAGAUUCUGCUUCUGCUGGGAGGCGCUGCUUCUAGGAGCUCUCCGUCUCUCCGGAAGGAGGGACAGGACUCAUACCCAGCUGGUCAGCUCGUGACACAUGCCACUGUGGCCAAAUAAAACCAGUGACAAGCUGGAGAGCCCAGGACCUCCAUGGACAAGGGACAGGAAGAAGGGUGCGGUGGCUCACACCUGUAAUCUCAGCACUUUGGGAGGCUGAGGUGGGCAGAUCACCUGAGGUCAGGAGUUCGAGACUAACCUGACCAACAUGGAGAAACCACGUCUCUACUAAAAAUACAAAAUUAGCCGGGCGUGGUGGUGGUGUGCCUGUAAUCCCAGUUACUCGGGAGGCUGAGGCAGGAGAAUUGCUUGAACCAGGGAGGUGGAGGUUGCAGUGAGCCGAGAUCGCACCACUGCACUCCAACCUGGGCAACAAAAGCGAAACUCCGUCUCAAAAAAAAAAAAAAAUGUUCUGUCCUCCUUCCUUGACAAAUACACCUUCAUAAGGAC